UGCCUUCUCGGCCCAGUCGGCAUGAAUCCCAGCCGUUGUUAUUUAUUUUUGUUAUCAAUCAUGGCCAUAAAAACGCAUUUCUUAGUUAGAGUAAAACUGUAAAACUGUAAAAUGUUGAUCAAAAACAGAGACCGACCGGAAAAUCUGGAAAGAAAGGAAGUGACAGACAAUCUUCACCGGAAAAGUGCAGGCAACUUUCCGACUCCUCAUCAGCGCUUAUCGGCCACCGCACUUGGGCGGCGCGUGAACUGGUUUUAGGUGUAACAGGAAGGCAGGUUUCUAUUGGAUGUGGCUCUAAAUCAAGAGACAAGGUUGUUAUUGUAGAGGAGAUGACUCUACAAAGUGUUUUUGACAUUCUGGAUAGAGCUUCAAAGUGCAGCGCAUAGGACCUGCUUUUUAAGGAAUCUGAACUUCAAGGCGUUAUCAUCGUUAAAGUUGGAUAACCUUGUGGCUCUUGCACUCUCCAAGGCUCAAAUCAAUCUAUUUGUGAUGAAAGCAUCUUGGUUAGUUAUUUACCACACAUUAAUCCCUUUUCCAAACCUUGCUAGGAGCAGGACAUCAACAUAUGUUGAAUGUUUUCUAUUUUCCCCAUUUUACUUCACCAAAAACCAUUUAGUUGAUAUAGUUUUAAUGUUUGCCUGCUGUCGAAAAUCAAACAGCCAUUCAUCCUAGAUGGGGUUGGCUAUUUCAAAUAGCCAGUACAAAUUCAAAGGUGAUUCCAUUUGAAUCCUUGCAGAUUCAGGUAGUCCUUUAAAAUAAAUAAAAAA